AUUGAACGCUGGCGGCAGGCCUAACACAUGCAAGUCGAACGAGUGGCGGACGGGUGAGUAAUGUCUGGGAAACUGCCUGAUGGAGGGGGAUAACUACUGGAAACGGUAGCUAAUACCGCAUAACAUCAGUUGUGCCCAGAUGGGAUUGGCUUGUUGGUGGGUGAACGGCUCACCAAGGCUACGUUCCCUAGCUGGUCUGAGAGGAUGACCGCCCACCUUGGAACUGAGCCACGGUCCAGCCUCCUAGGGGGGGCAGCAGUGGGGAAUAUUGGACAAUGGGCGCAAGCCGGAUGCAGCCAUGCCGCGUGUAUGAAGAAGGCCUUCGGUUUGUAAAGUACUUUCAGCGGGGAGUCGUUACCCGCAGAAGAAGCACCGGCUAACUCCGUGCCAGCAGCCGCGGUAAUAC
rnacentral:rRNA from 1 species